rnacentral:tRNA from 1 species
GGGGAUGUAGCUCAGUGGUAGAGCACCUGCCUGCCAAGUGUGGGGCCCUGAGUUCGAUGCCCACUACCCCCU